rnacentral:piRNA from 1 species
UGUCUUAAAGAGCCAGAAUCUGAGGGUGU